CCCUUAGAUGUCCUGGGCCGCACGCGCGCUACACUGAACGGAUCAGCGCGUUUUCCCUUCCCGAGAGGGACGGGUAACCUGCUGAACCCCGUUCGUGGUAGGGAUCGGGGCUUGCAAUUAUUCCCCGUGAACCAGGAAUGCCCAGUAAGUGCAAGUCAUAAGCUUGCGUUGAUUACGUCCCUGCCCUUUGUACACACCGCCCGUCGCUACUACCGAUUGAACGUUUUAGUGAGGUACUCGGACUGAGCCUCAGAAGAUUCACGUCUUUUGUGCUGCUCGGGAAGAUUCCCAAACUUGAGCGUUUAGAGGAAGUUGAAGUCGUAACA
rnacentral:rRNA from 1 species